GUGCUUGCUUUGGCAGCACAUAUACUAAAAUUGGAACAAUUCAGAGAAGAUUAGCAUGGCCCCAGUGCAAGGAUCACACACAAAUUCAUGAAGUGUUCUAUAUUUUU